rnacentral:lncRNA from 1 species
GUAAUUGAAGAUACUUGUCGAUUACUAUGCCAGAGUGAGUGAUUGAGAUGCCUUUGCCACUGCUAUAGGGGAAAAACAUGAAGAAAAUCAAAGAAAAAAGAGGGGAAAACGAGGGUUUGAGUUCAAAUCUUACAAACGGAAUGAGAAAUUUACACAAAACUUUCAAUUCUAAGAAAAAUAAAGUAGAAAGAAUCAUGAAAUUUGAGUUAAUCUCUCAAAAUUGAGAUCUUUACCUUGAGUUUUUAAGCGUGGUGGAGGUUUUCAUCUUUUGAGAAGUGGGCGGAGGUUUUGAGAUUUUGAGAAGUGGGCAGAGCUUUUGAGCUUUUGAGAAAAAAAUGAACGAAGCAAAAAAUAGCGUGGAAAAUAUUAGCGCGCUGUUUUUUGCAGAUAUCUUAGGUUUUCAGCCGCCGCUAUUUUCUUAUAUUGUGUCAG